AGUGAACGCUGGCGGUAGGCCUAACACAUGCAAGUCGAACGGCAGCACAGUAAGAGCUUGCUCUUACGGGUGGCGAGUGGCGGACGGGUGAGGAAUACAUCGGAAUCUACUUUUUCGUGGGGGAUAACGUAGGGAAACUUGCGCUAAUACCGCAUACGACCUACGGGUGAAAGCAGGGGAUCUUCGGACCUUGCGCGACUGAAUGAGCCGAUGUCGGAUUAGCUAGUUGGCGGGGUAAAGGCCCACCAAGGCGACGAUCCGUAGCUGGUCUGAGAGGAUGAUCAGCCACACUGGAACUGAGACACGGUCCAGACUCCUACGGGAGGCAGCAGUGGGGAAUAUUGGACAAUGGGCGCAAGCCUGAUCCAGCCAUACCGCGUGGGUGAAGAAGGCCUUCGGGUUGUAAAGCCCUUUUGUUGGGAAAGAAAAGCAGCAGGUUAAUACCCCGCUGUUCUGACGGUACCCAAAGAAUAAGCACCGGCUAACUUCGUG
rnacentral:rRNA from 1 species